rnacentral:rRNA from 1 species
CGCCGGCGUCGGCGGGCGUAUUUCGCCUCACAGUAGGUCGCCGCGACCCGUUGCUUUUGGGGACGUCGAAGGCCCGGACGGAUUGGUACCCUACCGGCUGGGGAUGCGGCUUCGGCUUCUCCUCUUGUCCGGUGGGCGAAACCGCCGGUGUCCUGGCUGCCCUGCGACGGUCGUAGAGACGAGCCCUCCCCUUCGGGGGGGCGGCUCUCGCGGCGUGCAAAAGGUCGGUGAUCCACCCGACCCGUCUUGAAACACGGACCAAGGAGUCUAACAUGUGUGCGAGUCAGUGGGCGCACUAAACCCAGAGGCGUAAUGAAAGUGACACGGGUUCGGCUGUCGCCUCGUGUGGCAGCCGGACUCAGGGCCGAUCCCUCACCGGUUGCCCUCGCCUUCUCUCCCGCGUCUCGGUAAGCCGGGUGAGCUAUUUUCCCCGGCCGCUGCUGCGGGGCGCGGGGGGAGGCGGGGUGCGAUGGUGUCCGUAAAAAAGAGCCUGCUGUUGCAGGGGGGCGCAGGCCCGGGACUUGCCAGGACGCCGCGAGACUGUCACUUUGCUGUGAGGCUCUCGGGCCGAUCAGCGGGUCAUGCGUGCAGUCGGCAAGUACCAUGAGCAGACAUGUUGGGACCCGAAAGAUGGUGAACUAUGCCUGGCCAGGAUGAAGCCAGAGGAAACUCUGGUGGAGGUCCGUAG